CACGUAGGCGGUUUUUCAAGUCAGAUGUGAAAUCCCCGGGCUUAACCUGGGAACUGCAUUUGAUACUGGAUGACUAGAGGCCGGGAGAGGGUAGUGGAAUUCCCAGUGUAGAGGUGAAAUUCGUAGAUAUUGGGAAGAACACCGGUGGCGAAGGCGGCUACCUGGACCGGUACUGACGCUGAGGUGCGAAAGCGUGGGGAGCAAACA
rnacentral:rRNA from 1 species